rnacentral:lncRNA from 1 species
CAAACUCCAAAUUUGAAACCAUAUUCCAAUACUCCAAACAACUUUUCAGAAUUUAGUUUCAAAAAUUUUGAAUUCUAUCAUCAUAAGAUGGAAAUGGUCAGAAGUCAGAAAUACUUAAAAUUUAUGGAUUUCUCACAAAUAAAUUUUACUAAGACACUAUAUAUAAUCUUAAUAAACAUAAAGAACACACACCUAUCAGUACAAGAAGCAAACAAAAAAAAAGUUGCUUUCCCUCUGUCAGACCUGUUGGAUAUGGGAAUCAAAUCCAGGUCAGUUGUAUUGAUCAAUAGCAGAAUUUAUUGAUGAUAUCACCAUUGUAAAUAUGACUUGAUCAUAAGUUAAGUCAGUCAUAAAAUAUAAAAAUAAUCACAUAUUUAAUUAAAUUACAAAAAUCACAUUUUAAAUUAUUACACAAACUGCU